CAGUCGACGAUGAAGCUGGAGCUUGCUCCGGUGGAUUAGUGGCGAACGGGUGAGUAACACGUGAGCAGUCUGCCCUUGACUCUGGGAUAACUGCGGGAAACUGUAGCUAAUACCGGAUACGAGACUGAGAGGCAUCUUUCAGUCUGGAAAGAAUUUCGGUCAAGGAUGAGCUCGCGGCCUAUCAGCUAGUUGGUGAGGUAAUGGCUCACCAAGGCGACGACGGGUAGCCGGCCUGAGAGGGUGACCGGCCACACUGGAACUGAGACACGGUCCAGACUCCUACGGGAGGCAGCAGUGGGGAAUAUUGCACAAUGGGCGAAAGCCUGAUGCAGCAACGCCGCGUGAGGGAUGAAGGCCUUCGGGUUGUAAACCUCUUUUAGCAGGGAAGAAGCGAAAGUGACGGUACCUGCAGAAAAAGCACCGGCUAACUACGUGCCAGCAGCCGCGGUAAUACGUAGGGUGCAAGCGUUGUCCGGAAUUAUUGGGCGUAAAGAGCUCGUAGGCGGUUUGUCGCGUCUGCUGUGAAAAUCCGAGGCUCAACCUCGGACCUGCAGUGGGUACGGGCAAACUAGAGUGCGGUAGGGGAGAUGGGAAUUCCUGGUGUAGCGGUGGAAUGCGCAGAUAUCAGGAGGAACACCGAUGGCGAAGGCACAUCUCUGGGCCGUAACUGACGCUGAGGAGCGAAAGCGUGGGGAGCGAACAGGAUUAGAUACCCUGGUAGUCACGCCGUAAACGGUGGGUGCUAGUUGUGGGUCCAUUUCACGAUCCGUGACGAGUU
rnacentral:rRNA from 1 species